rnacentral:rRNA from 1 species
GACGAACGCUGGCGGCGUGCUUAACACAUGCAAGUCGAACGGAAAGGCCCUGCUUUUGUGGGGUGCUCGAGUGGCGAACGGGUGAGUAACACGUGAGUAACCUGCUCUUGACUUUGGGAUAACUUCAGGGAACUGGGGCUAAUACCGGAUAGGAGCUCCUGCUGCAUGGGGGGGGUUGGAAAGUUUCGGCGGUUGGGGAUGGACUCGCGGCUUAUCAGCUUGUUGGUGGGGUAGUGGCUUACCAAGGCUUUGACGGGUAGCCGGCCUGAGAGGGUGACCGGGCACAUUGGGACUGGGAUAGGGCCAGGACUCCUACGGGAGGCAGCAGUGAGGAAUAUUGCACAAUGGGCCGAAGCCGGAUGCAGCAACGUCGCGUGCGGGAUGACGGCCUUCGGGUUGUAAACCGCUUUCGCCUGUAACGAAGCGUGAGUGACGGUAAUGGGUAAAGAAGCACCGGCUAACUACGUG